GAUUUUUAGCCUUCUUGGGUCCAUUUUCUCUGGCAAUUUAGUCAGUCUUGAUUUUUCUUUCACGCGAGUGACACGUUAUAAGUGGUUCCUCUCGUCCGUAAAAGUGAAAUAAUUAAAAUUCGUUACUAUUUAUAUCGAAUUGUGUUUUAAGACAUUAAUUUAGAAUUUAGUUCACUAAUUUUAAACUUUUAUUAGUUUAAUAUGUUUUUAAAAUUAUUAUUAGGACACUAAGUGUUAAUAAGUUACAUUAGUUUGUUGGACAAUUUAGUACGAACAUCUAUUGUUUGAAUUUGGCGUAGAGAGUAAACAUCAUAAAGGAGACAGGUACCCUUCCUUUUAAAUCUGCAGUGAAGGAAGAAAAAUAUUUCAAGCCAGAGAUCCAAUCACAAAUCGGGCACAUUUUGAACCGAUUAUACGAUUGAGGCUGCGACAAAAGUCAAAGAAGGAAAGAUAAUCAAAAUGCUGCAGCCAAAAAAUAAAAUUUUUUUAAAUUAAAUUAGUGACAUUUUAAAAUUUGAAUUUUUUAAUAUCUUGUAUA